rnacentral:rRNA from 1 species
GACGAACGCUGGCGGCGUGCCUAAUACAUGCGAGUCGAACGCUGACGGAGGAGCUUGCUUCUCUGGAUGAGUUGCGAACGGGUGAGUAACGCGUAGGUAACCUGCCUGGUAGCGGGGGAUAACUAUUGGAAACGAUAGCUAAUACCGCAUAAUAGUAGAUGUUGCAUGACAUUUGCUUAAAAGGUGCAAUUGCCUCACUACCAGAUGGCCCUGCGUUGUAUUAGCUAGUUGGUGGGGUAACGGCUCACCAAGGCGACGAUACAUAGCCGACCUGAGAGGGGGGUCGGCCACACUUGGAAUGAGACACGGCCCAGACGCCUACGGGAGGCAGCAGGAGGGAAUCUUCGGCAAGGGACGGAAGGCUGAACGAGCAACGCCGCGUGAGGGAAGAAGGGUCUCGGAUCGGAAAGCUCCGUUGUAAGAGAAGAACGAGUGUGAGAGUAGAAAGUUCACACUGUGACGGUACCUUAACAGAAAGGGACGGCUAACUACGUG